rnacentral:rRNA from 1 species
UACGUAGGGGGGCGAGCGUUGUCCGGAUUUAUUGGGCGUAAAGAGCUCGUAGGCGGUUUGGCAAGUCGGGUGUGAAAAACUCCGGGCUCAACCCGGAGACGCCACUCGAUACUGCUAUGACUUGAGUCCGGUAGGGGAGUGCGGAAUUCCUGGUGUAGCGGUGAAAUGCGCAGAUAUCAGGAGGAACACCGGUGGCGAAGGCGGCACUCUGGGCCGGUACUGACGCUGAGGAGCGAAAGCGUGGGGAGCGAACAGG